rnacentral:misc_RNA from 1 species
CCAAUAGCGUAUAUUAAAGUUGUUGUGGUUAAAAAGCUCGUAGUUGAACCUUGGGCCUGGCUGGCCGGUCCGCCUCACCGCGUGUACUGGUCCGGCCGGGCCUUUCCCUCUGUGGAACCCCAUGCCCUUCACUGGGUGUGGCGGGGAAACAGGACUUUUACUGUGAAAAAAUUAGAGUGCUCCAGGCAGGCCUAUGCUCGAAUACAUUAGCAUGGAAUAAUAGAAUAGGACGUGUGGUUCUAUUUUGUUGGUUUCUAGGACCGCCGUAAUGAUUAAUAGGGACAGUCGGGGGCAUCAGUAUUCAAUUGUCAGAGGUAAAAUUCUUGGAUUUAUUGAAGACUAACUACUGCGAAAGCAUUUGCCAAGGAUGUUUUCAUUAAUCAGGAACGAAAGUUAGGGGAUCGAAGACGAUCAGAUACCGUCGUAGUCUUAACCAUAAACUAUGCCGACUAGGGAUCGGACGGUGUUAUUUUUUGACCCGUUCGGCACCUUACG